GACAGAGGUGCCGAGCGUUAGGCGGAAUCACUGGGCUUAAAGCGUGUGUAGGCGGAUUGGUAAGUCCCUUGUGAAAUCCCACGGCUUAACCGUGGAACUGCUUGGUAUACUGCUUAUCUUGGGCCACUUAGGGGCUACCGGAACAAACGGUGGAGCGGUGAAAUGCGUAGAUAUCGUUUGGAACGCCAAUGGUGAAAACAGGUAGCUGGGAGUGUGCCGACGCUGAGACACGAAAGCCAGGGGAGCGAACGGG
rnacentral:rRNA from 1 species